AGGAUUGAUUCCAUGACAGGUUGUAGAAGAAGGGAAAUGGAGGCCUGAUGCACCGCGCUCCUUCAUCUGCACAGAUGUCUCUGGAGACACAGGAAAUCAGGUCAUCCUGUUCAUCAUCAGGUUUUAACAAAAGAUAGGCCUGGACUUGGAUCUUUGAAGAACCACAAUACUCCAUAGAGAUGCUGCUUCAGUCAGACAGUGACAGUUCAUCACGAAGUGAGAGAAACCAUUGGCCUUUAUUCUCACCGCGAUGGUCCCUGACAUCGUC